CAUCGCUGGUCUUUACCUGUUAGAUGCUGGUUGCAACCCCCUCCUCAUUGUGACAGCCCCAAAUCUCUUCAGAUGUUGUAAAUGUCCCUUAAGCUUGGGGUGGGGGGGAUGGGGCUUGGCUGAGAAGCACUGACCUACCACAGUACCUGGCAGACUGAGGCUAAAUAAAUGUAUAUUUAAUAAGCAAAUGCAGUUUUUAUUCUCACAGAUGCAAAACCUUCAGAUGCAUUUCACACUUAUGGGGCAGACCUUUGAUAGGUUCUUACCAGGAAGAGUAUUUCAAGGCUUAUAGGAAAGGGAGGAAGGAAUAGCCUUGCAACUUGCUGACUUGGAGAAAUGAGAGGAUGGAACACACGGCUCUGAUGGCAGAUGCGUCACUCAACGCCUCUUCUAAAGUUUUACCGAGAUGGGGCUUCUAAACUUCAUUUUGUUCUAUGUUGUUAGAACGACCUUUUGGCUAAUUUUGCCCCCUGCUAGUCAUAAUUAUCUCAUUCUAGCAGAGACUUUAAUUCUAUUAAAUUUUAAAAUUGAAGACUUAUUUCUGAGAAAUGUUUUAUCAUGAAUGGUAGCAACGUGAAUGCAAGGAAGAAGAGAAGAGAAAUUUAUGUAAAAUUGAUUGGGGAAAUGGUUAAUAAUCUUUCAAGACAUAUGGAACAGGUGAAAGCCUGUUGUACGAAUUGGGAAAAGUUUUGCCAAAACAUGAAGAAACAACAUUACAAAAGUACUUAAAAUUAAUAUUUGUCAAGUCAUCAUUGAUUCUCAUUUCCAGCAUUUAGAUUUUCUUCGGUUUAUGUCUGUCAGUUGCUAAUUCGUUUCUUGCUUCUCAGAAAAACAGGCAUCAUCUUUCCUUUGUCAUUGCAGCAGGUUAUACUCGUGUGCAAUAUUGAUAAGAUACGGAGGAGAAGUUUUGAAACACCCAGUGUCACCCCAUCACGUUUUAUUUUUCUUGUCAGAGAAAUAGUGUGCUCCCCGCAGUGUCUCCAAGUUAUUCAACUUCAUUCCAGGAAAGCUGCUGUUUAUCUUCUAGCUGGAGACAUAGGAAGAGAAGGAAUUUCAGUGAAAGAAGAGUCCAGGGAAGAGAUGGAUAUCAUUACAAGACUCUCUAUGGGAUCUGUCUCCCCGUGUGAAUGAGAUAGUAACCCUUCCAGCAAGAAUUGCACAACAUCCAUGCACAUGGGGAAAUGGAAUUUGUUUUUACCACUUCUACUUUUGAGAGACGCGUUGGCCAGUAGUGUGUGCGUGUGUCAGAAGUGUUGAAUGACCCCAACAUUCCGGUGAGAAAUGAUGUAGUGUGGUUGUUUCCUAUUUGCUGUGGAUGAAUGAGGCCCCUCCCUCACCCACAGUUCACAUGUUGAAGUCCUGUCUCCAGGACUGCAGAAGGUGACUACAUUUGGAAAAUACAUUCUUUAAAGACAUAGUUAAGACGGGGAAGGGGGGGGGAAGGAGGGAAAGACUGGGGUUGGGGAUGGGCAUAUGAACAUAGACGUAUAUGGGGUGAUUGGCCAACAGGGACCUGCUGUAUAGCACAGACAACUCUACCCAAUAUUCCAUGAUAAUGUAUGGGGGAAAAGAAUCUGAAAGAGAAUGGAUGUGUAUACCUAUAAAAAAAAAAAGGUUAUUCAGUUAAAAUGAGGUCCCUGGGAUGGGUCCUGAUCCAACAGAUGUGUGUCCUUAGAAGAAGAAGAAUUAGGAUACAGACAAGCACAGAGGGAAGAGCGUGGGAAGACACAGAGAGAGGAUGGCCAUCCAUAAGCCAAGGAAGGAGGAUGCCUCAGGAGAAAGCAAGCCGGCCGAUACCUUGAUCUUAAACUUCCAGCCUCCAGAACUGUGGGAGUAUAAAUGUCUGCUGUUGAAGCCAUGGAGGCUGUGGUACUUUGCUGCGGUAGCCCUGGAAAACUCAGACAUGGGAUUCCAAGUCUCUCAUGCAAUGGUUUUGACAGGGGUGGAGUGGGACAGUUACACAGGUAGUUGUAGAAGUCCCAAUAAAGGGCCGUAAAUAGAGAGGGAAACCGAGGGAACUCUGGGAGAUCACUGCAAAAUAGUAACUGCUCAAGAAAGCCACCAGAACGUGGCAGGCUUGUUUGACUACUGGAGGCACAAGAUACACUGCAGGCCAUUGGGUGGGGGAUGGGGCGGGGCCUGCGUUCGGGUUCAGGCCAAGGGCAGUUUAAGGACCACCCUUCUGCUGAUUUGAAUCAGCACCAUGGCAGUCCUAGCCUGACCUUAUAGGGUCAAAUACUGUCUUAGCAGAUACCCAGGAGGAGCUACUACUUGAAGAAAGAGGAAGAGGCGGUCUUUUCCCACCCCCACUCCGCUCGAAUGCUGAAACUGUAGCCCCCCUAAUCCUGGGGCAGAGGGUCUCUCACCAGCGUCCUACCUUAUGAAAUCUGUUUCUUGACUUUCACUUUUCCCUCGCUGAAUUCCUUCUGCACAGAGGCACAGAAAACUUCAGGAAGUCCAGACACUGGGUGAGUGAUUCUCAUUGAAAAACCAUGGGGUUCAAGUCCCAGUCUGGGUCAUGACUGGGUUCAAGUCCCAGUCUGGGUUUAGGAUGGGCUCCAGUCAUCAAUGUUGUCAGUUUCAGAGUGAUAUAGAUUUGAAUUCCUUAGAAUGACCCUCCCGGCCUGUCUUUCCCACUGCUUCCUGACCAGCCAUACAAACUGAAAGUAAGGGCGACGAUAAUGAAGGGCAUCUCCAUAGAGGAAAUAUAUUUCCUUACGUCUACAACUAGUCUGUAACCGAACUCAACCUUGCCAAAGAUAGCAAUUUUCAUUAUGUAUUAAAUUGGACCCAUAAUGGAACAAGGGUAGACGUACAGUUUCUGGUCCAGAAACCUCAUUAUUUCAAAAUCGUGAACUUGGUGACUGAUUCAAUUUCAAUGUUAGAAAACAAGCUGGAUACUGAAUCAGGAUCAUUUUUAAAAUCCACUCCCUUAGAAUCUUGAUGAGAAGACAGUGAUGA
rnacentral:lncRNA from 1 species